rnacentral:rRNA from 1 species
UACGUAGGCAGCAAGCGUUGUUCGGAAUUACUGGGCGUAAAGAGUGUGUAGGCGGUUUUCUAAGUUCGGUGUGAAAUCUCCCGGCUCAACUGGGAGGGUGCGCCGAAUACUGAGAGGCUAGAGUGUGGGAGAGGAAAGUGGAAUUCCUGGUGUAGCGGUGAAAUGCGUAGAUAUCAGGAGGAACACCGGUGGUGUAAACGGCUUUCUGGACCAUAACUGACGCUGAGGCACGAAAGCGUGGGUAGCAAACAGG